GACAAAGGACCAUAGAUGACAGAAAUGGCGAGAAUCAAUGAUUCUUGGCGUAAUGGGAAUUGACGUGUCUCUGAAUGACAUCAAGAAGCUCACUCCACGCUUCACAAUUGGUCCAAAUGGGUACUAUUUUGCCAUUGAUCCCAAUGGAUAUGUCCUGCUUCACCCCAAUCUUCUGCCAAAUGUACGGUGCCCGAGCCUA